rnacentral:rRNA from 1 species
UACGUAGGGGGCUAGCGUUGUCCGGAAUCAUUGGGCGUAAAGCGCGCGUUAGGCGGCCCGAUAAGUCUGCUGUGAAAGUCCAGGGCUCAACCCUGGAAUGCCGGUGGAUACUGUCGGGCUAGAGUUCGGAAGAGGCAAGUGGAAUUCCUGGUGUAGCGGUGGAAUGCGCAGAUAUCAGGAGGAACACCUAUAGCGAAGGCAGCUUGCUGGGACGACACUGACGCUGAGGCGCGAAAGCGUGGGGAGCGAACAGG